ACAAGGCAAAAGUUGGCAAAAAGGGCAAAUGAUUUCAUGAUGACUUUGGGUUUGCUCGUUUUUGGCAAAUCGCUAGUCUAAUUUGAUUGGAGUCGAGCCAAGGAAUAAAACUCAGCGCCUUCGGCCCUAACGCAAGGUCAAUUUCGGGCAAAAUCCAUCGUUUAGGCCCUCGUUUAAUCAUUUUUGCUAUUUAUGGUAAUUUUCAUUUUUGCAAUAUCUCUUUCCAUGAAAUUUGGAUUUAGAUUCCGUUUGUUGGAGGAUGAUCCUGAAGAUAAGUAUUUUCCAUC
rnacentral:lncRNA from 1 species